rnacentral:rRNA from 1 species
AAACCGUUCGGGGGAAAACGGACAGAGCCCGUGAAUCCGGACGGCAGAAUUCAGAAUUGGCCGCUUCGCGGCGGCCAGUUUGAUAUUUCUGUCGUCGCACGUUUUUUCACGGACGUCGCGACCCGUUUGGCGUCGGUCUGAGGAGACGCGUUUCACGUUCGUUGACGCGUCGUCGACUCGUUCGGCGCGCGUUGCGAGUACGCGUUCGUAUUCCGGCCGACUCGCCAGACGGUAAGUGUGCGGGUGACCGUGGCGACCCGAGCGUCGUCCACGGUGCCGGUCUGCGACGAAUCUUCGGGUCUCUUUCCNA